ACUCACGCUUGCCCGCAGCAGCAGCUGGUAGAAAGGUCUCUCCCGAUAGUCGAGGGGUUGUCGCAGGACCAGGGCGCCCACGUACGUAUUCUGGCUUCUCUCGACGUUGACGAUGCCAAACUUCUCGCACGCGUCCAGGAACUGCAAUAAAAGUCGAUCGUUAAAUGCCAGUUCGACAGCGAACGAUCCAACGAUCAAACAUGUGCACUACAACUACGCUGCUGUACAUAAUAGUACGAGUGCUGAGCGAAUAGUUUCCGUCGAAAUAAUAAUAAAAUGCGCGUUGUAUGCAAAUAAUCUACGUCGGGAGUGCCGUACAAAGUGCCGCGCAAAUCGUUUAUUUUUUUUCGUGAUCGUAAUUAAUCGUGUUUUCGCGAGUGUCAUGUGAAUACAAGAGAAAUAAAAGGACGACCAACAAUAAGAGAGGAGGAGGAGGCCCGGGGAGGCAUCAGGCAACAAAGGAGUAACCGUGAAAUCAAACAUGUGCACUACAACUCCGCUGCUGCGCGUCGUAUCGGUGAG